rnacentral:lncRNA from 1 species
GCUAGAGUGAGGCUUGGAGUUGAAGACCAGCCUGGGCAAAACAGGGAGACCCCCAUCUCCACAGAAAUAUUUACAAAAGAAAAAGAAGACGGAUGGAUGAAUAGAUGGGUCCUGUGGUAAAUCGGCUCAGCUCUCGUCCUGCAAUUUUACCAGCUUAAUUGUGUCUCUUGCCAGACUGAAAACCCUGUGAACAGAAUCUUCCCCAGUCAUCCCUGGGCC